AUCACAUUGCGCUAAACAGCCAAAUUCCAUUCCUUUUUUUUUUUCUGUCAAAAUAUUCCACAAAUUCCUCAAAAUCUAAGCUUUCAAACCAACCAAACAAAACAAAACCAGAUAGAAAAGAAGCAAAGCAUAGCUUCACAUGGUUAACAAAUAGCCAAAACACAGAGUCUAUACACAAGAAAACCACAGAGGAUAUGACAAUGCCACCACAAGAUAGAUCAAAGCCACUGCACAACUUCUCAUUGCCUUGCUUCAAAUGGGGUCACCAAAGAGUCCUUAGAUGUGUCAAAGUUACUGAUGAUCCUCAUCAUCGAUCUUCUUCUUCGAUUCCCAAUGGAUUUCAAUCCAAACCCACCUGCCUUGACACCCCCAAGAAUCACAAACCAAUCCCAAUUCAAGAAAAUCCCAUUUCUCCUGAUCUUAGAUUCAAUGAAGGUGCUAAGAGAUUGAAGGUCUCACCUCUUCUUGAAGAAGAGAGAGGCAAUGAUGAUUCUACGAGGCCUUGGAAUUUGAGGACCAGAAGGGCGGCAUGCAAGGCGCCACUGCGGAUAGAUGAGAAGAGAAAUAUUGAUUCUCCAAAGAAAAUUUUGGAGAUUGAUUCGCCAAGGAGAAAUGACACUUCUUUGGUUAAGAGGCAGAGUAUGGAGCCCCUGAAGGAUAAAGUCAAGUUUUCGGUUCCCCUUUCAAAGGAGGAGAUUGAGCAAGAUUUCAUGGAGAUUGCUAGGAUUAGGCCACCCAGAAGGCCCAAGAAGAGACCUCGAAUGGUGCAGAAGUAUUUGGACUCAAUUUUUCCAGGACUGUGGCUAACAGAAGUUACACCAGAUUCAUACAAGGUUCCUGAAGUACCUGAGUCAUGAGAGGGACAGAAAUGAAAGUGUAGUUAUUUUCUGGGGAAUUUCUUAUGUUCUGCUUGCUAACACUCGGUGUAUUUGACCUCAAUUAAUGCCAUGACUGGCUGUCUUCAUGGUAAAUUUUGCUUGUGCAUUUUUUUGAGGUUCUGGGAAUCAAUUGAGGGAAACUAACUGCAAAUGAUCAAGUGCAAUUUCUAACUCACCAUGCAAUAUUUGGUCAUCUUUGGAGGAAGUUGGUUGAGGAAUAUGUGGCCAUGUCUUGGUGCUUCAUCAGAAACAAAUGGAACUCGAAUGGAAGUUUGCUAUUACUUUGAUAGUUAUGUGGCAUCUAUGAGGCAGUAUCAGUUUGAGUAACGUAUCUGGUUACUGAUUUUAUCAAUGCCUCUUUCAGGUUGGAAACAUUUCUAAACCUAGUUCUACAAUUACUCAACAAAAUAUUUUGCCUAAAACUGUUGGGAAGAUCCCGCUUGAGUUCUCCAUUCUGGUCGUGCAUGGCUGGUGCAUAUUCAGUGCUUACCAAUUAGCGGUCUCAUCUCUUGAAGAGGAAGCUGGUUUGACAUUGUCUUCAUUUGUUGAAGGCCAAUUCUCUUAUUCUUUUUCCUGGGUCCCUUCUGUUGAGAGAUCAUUCCAUGUGAUGCAACCCCUGCUGUUGGUUGACUCCACCAAUCCAGGGUUCUGAGUCUUUAUUGUGGCUUGAAACCUCUUGUUUGAGCAGGAAGCCUUUGCUACCAUCUUCAGUCCGAAGAAAGACAUGUACAGCACAUCAAUAGCUGCUUAUUACAUCUUCUUCUUAUCUCAUUAUUUAAUGAUAGAUCUCAGUUAAGUUGAAUCUCUCCCUGUACAAGCAGUUAACAAUUUUAUGUGGACAUUUAGUUAAUUAAUGCCUCUCCUCAUCACCUCAAUAUUUACUCAACUCCCAGAUUCCAAAGGCUUAUUGGACCACACAAGACAAUUAAACUUUAAAAUUUGAUUUUCCUUGGAAAAAA